rnacentral:misc_RNA from 1 species
UAACAAGUGUUUUAUGGCACUUUUUAAAUCCAUAUCCACCUUGUGUGCAAUGUCAGUCGAUCUUCUUCAUGGAGAUCGACCAAACAUCAACCUUUAUUUUUAACUCUUUGUCUGAAAAAUAUUAUGAAUAAACAAUUCAAAAUA